AAGAGGGGCCCGCGUCCGAUUAGGUAGUUGGUGGGGUAAAGGCCUACCAAGCCGACGAUCGGUAGCUGGUCUGAGAGGAUGAUCAGCCACACUGGGACUGAGAUACGGCCCAGACUCCUACGGGAGGCAGCAGUGGGGAAUAUUGGACAAUGGGGGCAACCCUGAUCCAGCAAUGCCGCGUGAGUGAUGAAGGCCUUAGGGUUGUAAAGCUCUUUUGCCAGGGAAGAUGAUGACUGUACCUGGAGAAUAAGCCCCGGCUAACUUCGUGCCAGCAGCCGCGGUAAUACGAAGGGGGCUAGCGUUGUUCGGAAUUACUGGGCGUAAAGGGCGCGUAGGCGGCCGUUUAAGUUAGAUGUGAAAGUCCUGGGCUCAACCUGGGGACUGCAUUUAAUACUGGAUGGCUUGAAUUCGGGAGAGGAUAGCGGAAUUUCCAGUGUAGAGGUGAAAUUCGUAGAUAUUGGGAAGAACACCGGUGGCGAAGGCGGCUAUUUGGACCGACAUUGACGCUGAGGCGCGAAAGCGUGGGGAGCAAACAGGAUUAGAUACCCUGGUAGUCCACGCCGUAAACGAGGAGUGCUAGACGUUGGGAAGCUUAGCUUUUCAGUGUCGCAGCUAACGCAUAA
rnacentral:rRNA from 1 species